AUUGAACGCUGGCGGCAGGCCUAACACAUGCAAGUCGAACGAGUGGCGGACGGGUGAGUAAUGUAUGGGAAACUGCCUGAGGGAGGGGGAUAACUACUGGAAACGGUAGCUAAUACCGCAUACCAGCGGAUGAGCCGAGAUGGGAUUAGCUAGUAGGUGGGGUAAAGGCUCACCUUGGCGACGAUCCCUAGAUGGUCUGAGAGGAUGACCAGCCACACUGGCCGUGAGACACGGUCCAGCCUCCUACGGGAGUCAGCAGUGGGGAAUAGUGCACAAGGGGCGCAAGCCUGAUGCAGCCAGGCCGCGUGUAUGAAGAAGGCCUUCGGGUUGUAAAGUACUUUCAGCGGGGAGGCGUUACCCGCAGAAGAAGCACCGGCUAACUCCGUGCCAGCAGCCGCGGUAAUAC
rnacentral:rRNA from 1 species